rnacentral:rRNA from 1 species
UACAGAGGUGGCAAGCGUUGUUCGGAAUUACUGGGCGUAAAGGGCGCGUAGGCGGCCUUCUAAGUCAGACGUGAAAUCCCCCGGCUUAACCUGGGAACUGCGUCUGAUACUGGGAGGCUUGAGUAUGGGAGAGGGAUGUAGAAUUCCAGGUGUAGCGGUGAAAUGCGUAGAUAUCUGGAGGAAUACCGGUGGCGAAGGCGGCAUCCUGGACCAUUACUGACGCUGAGGCGCGAAAGCUAGGGGAGCAAACGGA